UACGUAGGGUGCAAGCGUUGUCCGGAAUUAUUGGGCGUAAAGAGCUCGUAGGCGGUUUGUCGCGUCUGCUGUGAAAACGCGAGGCUCAACCUCGCGCCUGCAGUGGGUACGGGCAGACUAGAGUGCGGUAGGGGAGAUUGGAAUUCCUGGUGUAGCGGUGGAAUGCGCAGAUAUCAGGAGGAACACCGAUGGCGAAGGUAGAUCUCUGGGCCGUAACUGACGCUGAGGAGCGAAAGCAUGGGGAGCGAACAGG
rnacentral:rRNA from 1 species